GGGUAGUUUGACUGGGGCGGUCUCCUCCUAAAGAGUAACGGAGGAGCACGAAGGUUGGCUAAUCCUGGUCGGACAUCAGGAGGUUAGUGCAAUGGCAUAAGCCAGCUUGACUGCGAGCGUGACGGCGCGAGCAGGUGCGAAAGCAGGUCAUAGUGAUCCGGUGGUUCUGAAUGGAAGGGCCAUCGCUCAACGGAUAAAAGGUACUCCGGGGAUAACAGGCUGAUACCGCCCAAGAGUUCAUAUCGACGGCGGUGUUUGGCACCUCGAUGUCGGCUCAUCACAUCCUGGGGCUGAAGUAGGUCCCAAGGGUAUGGCUGUUCGCCAUUUAAAGUGGUACGCGAGCUGGGUUUAGAACGUCGUGAGACAGUUCGGUCCCUAUCUGCCGUGGGCGCUGGAGAACUGAGGGGGGCUGCUCCUAGUACGAGAGGACCGGAGUGGACGCAUCACUGGUGUUCGGGUUGUCAUGCCAAUGGCACUGCCCGGUAGCUAAAUGCGGAAGAGAUAAGUGCUGAAAGCAUCUAAGCACGAAACUUGCCCCGAGAUGAGUUCUCCCUGACUCCUUGAGAGUCCUGAAGGAACGUUGAAGACGACGACGUUGAUAGGCCGGGUGUGUAAGCGCAGCGAUGCGUUGAGCUAACUGGUACUAAUGAACCGUGAGGCUUAACCUU
rnacentral:rRNA from 1 species